AUUGAACGCUGGCGGCAGGCUUAACACAUGCAAGUCGAGCGGAGAGAGGUAGCUUGCUACUGAUCUUAGCGGCGGACGGGUGAGUAAUGCUUAGGAAUCUGCCUAUUAGUGGGGGACAACAUUUCGAAAGGAAUGCUAAUACCGCAUACGUCCUACGGGAGAAAGCAGGGGAUCUUCGGACCUUGCGCUGAUAGAUGAGCCUAAGUCGGAUUAGCUAGUUGGUGGGGUAAAGGCCUACCAAGGCGACGAUCUGUAGCGGGUCUGAGAGGAUGAUCCGCCACACGAGGACUGAGACACGGCCCAGACUCCUACGGGAAGCAGCAGUGAGGAAUAUUGGACAAUGGGCGCAAGCCUGAUCCAGCCAUGCCGCGUGUGUGAAGAAGGCCUUAUGGUUGUAAAGCACUUUAAGCGAGGAGGAGGCUACUUUAGUUAAUACCUAGAGAUAGUGGACGUUACUCGCAGAAUAAGCACCGGCUAACUCUGUGCCAGCCGCCGCCGUAACAC
rnacentral:rRNA from 1 species